CAGCCGCCGCGGGAAUACGAAGGGGGCUAGCGUUGUUCGGAAUUACUGGGCGUAAAGCGCACGUAGGCGGAUAUUUAAGUCAGGGGUGAAAUCCCAGAGCUCAACUCUGGAACUGCCUUUGAUACUGGGUAUCUUGAGUAUGGAAGAGGUGAGUGGAAUUCCGAGUGUAGAGGUGAAAUUCGUAGAUAUUCGGAGGAACACCAGUGGCGAAGGCGGCUCACUGGUCCAUUACUGACGCUGAGGUGCGAAAGCGUGGGGAGCAAACAGGAUUAGAUACCCGCGUAGUCCCUGUCUCUUAUAC
rnacentral:rRNA from 1 species